CUUAGUGAUAUCCCCUACAAGUAAAAUGUAAAUUGGAUCGAUACAGAGAAGAUUAGCAUGGCCCCGGCGAAAGGAUGACACGCAAAUCCGUGAAUUCCAUAUUUUU
ensembl:snRNA U6 U6 spliceosomal RNA